CUUUGUUUUCCCACGCCUCCAGCUUUUACACCGAAAGACUUCUCUCUCCAAAGGGCUUUUUGUGCAAGGUCACUUGAAAUCACGUGAAUUGCAUGUGUGAAUGUUGUUCUGGAGUACAACAGAUGUCAAGUGAUGAAAGACAAACAGGAUAUCCAUAACUCAAAACCCUGCAGAAAGAAGAAAAAAGAAAGCAGCCUAGAGUGGUCACUGGUCCAGAUGAGUUGCUCAAAAAUGGUUCUCAGUGCUCUACUGUCACACGUAGAAGGCAGUGUCCUUAAACUGGAG